rnacentral:rRNA from 1 species
UACGGAGGGUGCAAGCGUUGUCCGGAUUUAUUGGGCGUAAAGAGCUCGUAGGCGGCUCGGUAAGUCAGGUGUGAAAACUCUAGGCUCAACCUAGAGACGCCACCUGAUACUGCCGUGGCUAGAGUCCGGUAGGGGAGCAUGGAAUUCCUGGUGUAGCGGUGAAAUGCGUAGAGAUCAGGAAGAACAUCGGUGGCGAAGGCGCUCUGCUGGACCAUAACUGACACUCAGGGACGAAAGCUAGGGGAGCGAAUGGG